UAGCUGCGAUACGUGAUGUGAAUUGCAGAAUUCGUGAAUCAUCGAAUCUUUGAACGCAUACUGCGCUCCUGGGUGACUAGGAGCAUGUCUGCCUGAGUGUCAUUUAUACAACUUCACUUGAGAUCCUUAAAACAGAUCUCAAGCGGAUAUGCAAGUCUCUGAGUCAAUCUUAGAGUCUUGUGAAAUUCAUUGGGGAAAUUUUUUCUUUUUUUUUUUGAAACAAGAAAAAAAAAGAAAGAAAGUAAAAAUUUUAAGGGGUGACCAUUUAUAUUGGACUAUUCCUUUUUUUUUUCCUUUUUUUCUUCUGCCUAUUUCUCAUCCUUGUAAUGAGGUAGAACUUAUACAACAUUACAACCAUAGGAUAAGGGACAAGUGUACGAAGAUACUUAAAAAAGAAAAAGUAUUUAAAAAGAGUAAGCCAAAAAGGUAACCUUUCUUCAAUAUUUGACCUCAGGUCAGGCAAGACUACCCGCUGAACUUAAGC
rnacentral:misc_RNA from 1 species